GGGGAAGCCCGCCGGUUGGGGCUACCCGUCCGGUCCAGGGACGAAAGCGGGUGAAGCGAACCGGAAUGAGAUACCCGGGUAUUUCCAACCGUGAAUCAUUGGCGCUAGGCGUUGUCCCUAAGGGGCCAGUACUGUAGCUAGCGCGUUAAGUCCUCGCCUAGGGAGAACGGCCGCAAGGCUGAAACUCAAAGGGAUUGGCGGGGGCCCGCACCACCGGUGCAGCGUCGGGUUUAAUCGGAUGCGACCCCUAGAUCCCGUAUCCGGGCUUGACAUGCGCGGGAAGCUACCUGAAAAGGUAGCGAGCCCCGUAAGGUUCCCCGCGCACAGGUUGUGCUUGGCCGUUUUCAGCUCGUACCGUGCGGUGUUGGGGUAAGUCCCGCAACGAGCGCAGCCCCUGUCCCUAGUUGCCGCCCGAAAGGGGGCGCUCUAGGGGGACCGCCGGCGAUAAUCCGGAGGAAGGGGGGGAAUGGCGUCAGGUCGGCAUGUCCUAUAUUCCCGGGGCUACACCGGCGUUACAGUCCCCUGGCCAGUGGGAAGCGACCCCGAAAGGGGGAGCAAAUACCGAAAUCAGGGCGAGGUGCGGAUUGGGGGGUGCACCUCGCCCCCAAGAAGCCGGAAUCGGUAGUAACGGCGUAUCAUCAAUGUCGCCGUGAAUACGUUCUCGGGCCUUGCACACACCGCCCGUCCCGCCACGGAAGUCGGCCG
rnacentral:rRNA from 1 species